rnacentral:misc_RNA from 1 species
UUCCCUAUUUAGCACACUGAUGGAGCGUUUACAAAAAUAAAGCGAAUUACUUCCCCACAAAUGUUGGCAAUGCUGUUUAUUCCACCCGGAAACCGGAAACUUCGUUUUUUUCGCCUUCGUUUGCCCUUUUCACUCAUCCGUCAAUUCAAGUUCAUCGGAAAACUUAUUUGCGUUUUUUUCAAAAAAUUUGGCCCAGUUUUCACACAUUCAGAACGCAGUUCAGGUCAAACUCUGGUCAGUGGGAUAAUGAAACUGUCGCUAGCCACCUAUUUAUCUCUACGAAUUACCACUAUAGCCCAGAAUGUUGAUGUAACCCGAAGAACUGCCGACAGGCUCGUAUUUCCAGUUGCGUUUCUACUGGCCAGUCUAGGAGUUGGCGUCUCUUCGUUUAGCCUGAAACAACUUCUAACGACGAAGCACCGCUCGUAAAAUGCUGCCCUGACAAAGGAACCGUUAAUUUUGUAAUGGCUCUGAUACUAUUUAGUUCCUUAUGUACGUAGAAGAUAGAAACUAACGUCUAAAAUGAAACAAAUUCCAAUUUUCGCAUACAAAAGGUAUCACUUUAAGUUUAUUUUUACGAUCAAUUCGGCCCGGAUUUCUUUAGUAAAUGCCAUUUUCUCAUAGUAAA